UGCCAGCAGCCGCGGUAAUACGGAGGGUGCAAGCGUUAAUCGGAAUUACUGGGCGUAAAGCGCACGCAGGCGGUCUGUCAAGUCGGAUGUGAAAUCCCCGGGCUCAACCUGGGAGCUGCAUCCGAAACUGGCAGGCUAGAGUCUUGUAAAGGGGGGUAGAAUUCCAGGUGUAGCGGUGAAAUGCGUAGAGAUCUGGAGGAAUACCGGUGGCGAAGGCGGCCCCCUGGACAAAGACUGACGCUCAGGUGCGAAAGCGUGGGGAGCAAACAGGAUUAAAUACCCUGGUAGUCCACGCCGUAAACGAUGUCGACUUGGAGGUUGUGCCCUUGAGGCGUGGCUUCCGGA
rnacentral:rRNA from 1 species